UGGGAAAGAGUGGGCAGAGGCCGGGGUAAGACGUAUGGCGUAAGCGGUAAGCGGAAGUAUUUGGCAGAAAUGGCGUCUAGGGUGUUUAGAAAGUGUGAUGGGAAAAUGCGGGGCUCAACCCCGUAUUGCGUUUGAAACUACUAGACUAGAGGAUUGGAGAGGUAAGCGGAACUACAAGUGUAGAGGUGAAAUUCGUAGAUAUUUGUAGGAAUGCCAAUUGGGAAGCCAGCUUACUGGACAAAUACUGACGCUGAAGCGCGAAAGCUAGGGGAGCAAACAGGAUUAGAUACCCUAGUAGUC
rnacentral:rRNA from 1 species